rnacentral:rRNA from 1 species
UACGAAGGGGGCUAGCGUUGCUCGGAAUCACUGGGCGUAAAGGGUGCGUAGGCGGGUCUUUUAAGUCAGGGGUGAAAUCCUGGAGCUCAACUCCAGAACUGCCUUUGAUACUGAAGAUCUUGAGUUCGGGAGAGGUGAGUGGAACUGCGAGUGUAGAGGUGAAAUUCGUAGAUAUUCGCAAGAACACCAGUGGCGAAGGCGGCUCACUGGCC